AGUGUUGGGAGUAACGCUUUACAAAAGUAAUGCAUUACAGUAAUUUAUUACUUUUUCCUGUAACGCAGUAGUGUAAGGCAUUACUAAUUAAUUUUCAGUAAUAUUUUACUCGGUACAUUUUCAGCAAAGCUUGCGUUAAAAAAAAAAAAAACCUUUGUGAGGCCGCGAGAUUUCAUUAAUCUCCCUCUCGUUGGUGUAACUUUGUUAUUGCGUGACAUAGUCCAGUGAAGGCGGGUUUUACAGGAGUGGCGCGAGGCAUGAUUUCUGCCCCUGCUGUGCUCGCGAGUCGCGCUUGCCAGUGGAAAAGCGGCUAAUGAAUAUGGCAGAAGACGACUGUAAAUUCACGAGGUGGACGUCAGUUAGGCUAUGUUUAGCCUAUAUGUUCAGUUCUGUGGACUAAAAUGAAUGAGGCUAAGGGGUUGGUCCUCCAAUUGCACUUUAUACUUGAGAAAGCACAGCCUAAUCUAUGUUCAUCAUGUGCACUUUGUGCAUGACAGUUUUGUGUUGUGAACCUCUUGAAUUCAAAGAGAAUAAAGUAAAACAAAUGUGCAUCUUG